UGCAUUGCGAUGGGUUACAUCA
rnacentral:miRNA from 2 species